GGCUGCUGCUGGUCCAUGUCACUCCCUCUAGGGUCAGUGUUCGGGCCGAGGGGGCACUGAUCGCUGGACAUCAGCUGGACCCGCAGUCGGAGGGCCUCUUUCUUGCACCGGUGGAGAUCGGUAAAACAAUGACAAGGAACAAUUCUGUACAAGUUCAAUAGACACAAUAUUUUUCUCAGAUAUUUUCCAGCCACAGUUGGCUGAAUCCAAAGAUGUGGAGCCUGUACACUAUUUACAGAAAGAUGUGAUGAGGUGACCUAGCUGGGGCAGCUCACUGGAGGACAAAUCACCGUGGCUACUGGAUCUUGGACUUUCAGCCUUUCAAACUGCUUUGGUUCUUCCCUGAGAGAUGUCUCAUAAACUUCAGAAGAGGAGAAAACCAUGAAGUGAUGAUAGCACUGAAUGUUCUACUUUUUACGACUGUAAAUAGUUUACUUUUUAGAAGAGACCACCUAUUAUGAAAACUUCAGAUCUCUCUAAGUCUUCCAGAAAUGAACUACAGAGUUUGUGAUCACUUCUAAACCCAAAUACCAGAUAAACUCUGCCAGAUUGGCUUUAAACCUUUGGAAACCAAUACUCUGUAUGCCUACGAAAGGGUAACAUGUGGGAACGAGGGAUAUCAAAUCCAAAAAACAAAAGUAAGAGUUGCUGCCAAUCAAAAAACUAAACACCUAAAACCAACAGAAUCAUUUUAAUAAGUCAACAGGUUGUGUCACUGUACAGGCAGAGCAAGAACUUUAUACUAAAAAUUUGAGAUAUUUAUUCAGUACCUGCUGUUAAUGAAGAAUAGUGGUAGGUACUGUAGAGGGAAUUGAUUCCAUAUGUCAAGAAAUUUCAAAGGUAACUAGGGGAAAAGAUGAGUACAAAAAUAAAUAGUAGAACUCUUACAAAUUAACAUGUAAACCAAAUGACCUAAUUUUAAACAUGGAGAAAAGACUUGAACAAACACUUCCCAAAGAAGUACAUGAAUGGCCAAUAAGCACAUUCGAAAUUGUUCCACAUUAUUAAUCAUUGGAGAGAUGGAAGUUAAAACUACAGCAAGAUGCUAUUUCACACCCACAAGAACAGUUGAAUUUUAGAAUUUUUUUUCAAGUCAUGAUAGAAAGAGCAGACAGGUGACAUUGUAUGUGGGUUUGCAUUAUGAGAACUGUAAAAACCUACAGAUUGUUAAUAUCACCCUAGAACACAACUGUAUCCAUGAAAUGCUCAUUUAUGUCAUGAGAGGAGGCAGGGGGUGGGGGAACAGAGUGACAAAGUCACAAUGGCUUUGUGGAGGCAGGAGCCUGCCCACAGGGACCAUCUCUACAGUGCGUGAGGCUCAAACUGCAGCCCCAGAAAAUCACAAUUCACCACACAUCGCAAACCUCUAUGUGCUGGGUUACAAAUGAAAGGAGUGGAUUUUAGAUCCCACAUGUGAUUGCUAUGGAAAUAGAAUACUAGACACAUCAGAAAGAAGUCAUAGAGAAUGCUUUAAGUGACACUGACAAUGGCAGGGAAAUCUCAGCUCUGGGGGAGUGAAGCCACAUUAACUAAAACAUUCACCCACCAUAGAGUCACUGUCCUUUGAAGAACAUGGCCGCAUCCUAGGGUGGUGACAUUUAAAUUGGUGUUAUGAUCUGAAAGCAACAUGGGGAAAGCUCUACUGAGAUACUGAGGUGCUACAUGAAGAAAUAACUUUAAGAGCCUUUAAAAAAAAUUCUACCAUGUAAAAUUAAUACCGAGGUACCUCUAUAAACUAAAAAUAGAGAUACCAUUUGAUCCAGAGGUACCACUCCUCAGUAUAUUCCCAAGAGAGUUAAAGAUGAUAUGCUGUAGUGAUACUGUGUACAUGUUUGCCUUGGCAUGAUUCACCCUAGCUACACUGUGGAAAUGAUCUAGAUGCCAGUCAACGGAUGAAUGGAUAAAGAAAAUACAACACAUACACCCAUGGAGUACUAUUCAGCCAUUAAGAAUGAAAUCAUACCAUUUGUAGAAAAUGGGUGAAACUGGAGUCUAUCAUGUUAAAUGAAAUAAGCCAGGCUCAAAAAAGGGCAAGAUGUGUGCUCACCCACCAGUGCUGAGACCUCAGGCCGGGAGUGGCAUCCAAUUGGGAACUGUGUGAAGAUGGUCGGCUCGGGGAGGAAAGGGGUGGACAGUGACAGACGGAUCCCUCCUACCAUGAAAUCACUGCCUCGAUCUGAUAUUAUGUUACUCAGGAGCUAGUGUCUCUUGUGUGUUUUUUCUUGGGCCAAGGGCUCCCCUUAAUUCUUCUGCUCCCCAUGAGACCUGGCCUGGUCUGGUCCCUUCCUUCUGCCCCUGGCUUCUGCUUCUGUCUCUCCUUUGAGACUACAGUCAGGAAAUAGGACUUCCAGAUCUGCUUCAGAAAGUGGCAGAAAUGUUAGGAUAAGU